GAAAAAAAUGGACUUAGUGGGUCUUUGAAUUUAAAUAAAAUAAACAUGUAUAUGCAACACAAAAUAUUUAUAUUCCUUGUGUAAAAAUAAUUUAAUUGAUUAGGAUUAAAAUGUUUUGUUUGAAUGUAAAAUGAACACAUUAUUCUCACAUUGAUUAAAAUUGAUUGAAUUGAAUACUUAAAACAAUAAAAUUGGGUUUGGACACAAAACGGCACCUCCUGAGCAGCAGGGGCAGUAUAGCUCAAUGAGAAGGACAUCGAUUGCCAUAAAAGAAGAAUAAAGAUCGUUUUUUUGGGCGCCAAAAUGAAGACUAAGCACAGCAGUCACUGCCAGUCAGUCAGAAGAACUCUCUCAGACGGACACCACGUUAUUAAAGUCCAUCAUCCUUGCAUGCGCUACACAGCAUUGAUAAAUGCUGAAUUUAAAAGAACCACUACUGUCUAAUGUUCCUGCGUGUCACCUGGACCUCCAAUCCAAAAACCUGAUGAAACUCUUCUAUCAGAAAGCAGGACAGCUAGCAAAAAGGCUUCAAACAAUCAAUGAUCAAAUGACAGAUGGCAUGGAUGAAGUCAGCAUCAGUGAGGUCAUUUGAAGACACCAAUGUUGGGAUUUGUGCUCUCAAACAACCUGCUUCUUGUGAUGAAGAAGAGGAUCUUUGUAUAGUCCUGGAAGGCAUGAAGGUGUUGCAACAUCGUGCCAUGUUGUUUGAGCUGAUGUAUGCCUUAAACCUGAGCUAUCCUGAUCUCCGCUUUAUUUUUGAGGAAAUCCAAAAGAUUUUAAUGGAACUGCAUUGAGAGUAACUUUAACGAACAGUUUCUUUCAGUGAAAGGAUCAGAAAGACUGUGCUGCUCAUUUUUGACUUUGUUUAUCUGUUUUAAGUGUUUUCUCUUAUUAAUACAUUAACCGUUUGCUGCUCAGA